UUUCUCUCAAUGUAUGGCUACAAAGAGCAUAACGAAACGAGAGCCACAAAGUCCUCAUAACGGGAAUAACAAGAAUAAUGAAUGAAAAAGUGCAAAAUACUAAACCAUACCAGGAAUGCAAAAGUCAGUAUUAUAGUAUUGUAGAUUUUCAGAUUUUUCGACUCGAGAUUACUUUUGCGAAGAAUUCAGCACCUUUUUAAAGUAAUGAUGAUAAAUGAUAUGACAAAAUCUCAACUUUUUGUGACUGUUCGUCUUGCAUAGAAUCUGAGUUGAGAGCAUAAGUGCAAAGAUUUUCCCGGGGGACAAUAUUGGCCAAAUUGGAAUAAUUCUUCACAGGUUUUGGUGCUGCAAUCAAACAACUUCUUCUUUGAUUUCCAUACGGUUGCGAAAUAAAAUGUUAACCACAAAUGGAUGCAAUGCAGAGAGAGACUUCUAAUAUCAAACGAUGACUCUCAGCAACUUCAGUUCGUUUUUUUAAAAUAGUCGCUAUCCAAGGCUCAGACCGCAGACAUCGCGCAUCUAUAACCAAUAUUGCCGUUUUUGAAAGGUUCCUACCAAAAUUGGCGGAAUUUUAUUCUCUUGGUAGGUUAAAGUACUUACUGAAAAAAUUAUGUAUUCGUUAAGAGUGCAGAACAAAACCAUGGAUGUCGAGGGGACAAAUACUAUUACUUCAAGCUUCAGUAAAAAAGCUCUGAUAUUGACUGUAACUUGUGCGAGUGUUAUGGGAUCCAAGUUUCGUAAAUUCUUAUUGAUGCGGCUUUUGUGCCUUCCAUCGGAAAACAAGCCUAUAUGGCAGCUGCAUACCAAGAUGGUCAGAACUGACCCAUAUUCAGAGGUUGAGAGAUCCAUGAGAGGGCCAUGCAAUUCAGUGCAACGGCAAUAUGGGUAGUAAGAGCGCAUUACAAUCGGGACAUUUAAAUCGGGAGAACGGUUUAUCCAAACUGGACACGCUUAUUCAUUGAAAUCGGGGCACGAAUAUGACUUUAUGAACCCAAGAUUUCUUAUCGGGAUAUCGGUGUAAAGGGUGCUAUAUCAAGAGCUUUGAAUGUAAGUCUAUAGAGUGAUUUCAACAAACAGAUUGUCGGAAAUGUCUAAAUUCUUCAUGAAUAACCACGCUCCAAUUCUUUGUAGUGUUGAAAAUGUAUAAUAUGAUGUGAUACAAUUGGAGUGGCAAAGUGCCCAACUUUUCGGUGGUGGGUAUAACAUCAUGUAGCAGUUUUGGCUGGUAGAACAUUUGGUUGGUUUUGGUAGGAUUUUUCUUAAAUUUUGGUAGAAAAAAAUUUUCUUGAGUGGCAAAACUGUCUAUAACCCGUUGUCUUUAAGUUAAUUAUUGCCUAUGUAUCGAUAAAUCACACACAAAUAAAGACAACCUUUUUUUAUA
rnacentral:sRNA from 14 species